GACGAACGCUGGCGGCGUGCUUAACACAUGCAAGUCGAACGGAAAGACCCUGCUUUUGUGGGGUGCUCGAGUGGCGAACGGGUGAGUAACACGUGAGUAACCUGCCCUUGACUUUGGGAUAACUUCAGGAAACUGGGGCUAAUACCGGAUAGGAGCUCCUGCUGCAUGGUGGGGGUUGGAAAGUUUCGGCGGUUGGGGAUGGACUCGCGGCUUAUCAGCUUGUUGGUGGGGUAGUGGCUUACCAAGGCUUUGACGGGUAGCCGGCCUGAGAGGGUGACCGGCCACAUUGGGACUGAGAUACGGCCCAGACUCCUACGGGCGGCAGCAGUGGGGAAUAUUGCACAAUGGGCGGAAGCCUGAUGCAGCAACGCCGCGUGCGGGAUGACGGCCUUCGGGUUGUAAACCGCUUUCGCCUGUGACGAAGCGUGAGUGACGGUAAUGGGUAAAGAAGCACCGGCUAACUACGUG
rnacentral:rRNA from 1 species